rnacentral:rRNA from 1 species
AACGCGAAGAACCUUACCCAGGCUCGAAAUGCAGAGGAUAGCAUCAGAGAUGAUGUGUUUCGAAAGGACCUUUGUAUAGGUGCUGCAUGGCUGUCGUCAGCUCGUGCCGUGAGGUGUUGGGUUAAGUCCCGCAACGAGCGCAACCCUUAUCAUUAGUUGCCAACACGUGAAGGUGGGGACUCUAAUGAGACUGCCUAGGUUAACUAGGAGGAAGGUGAGGAUGACGUCAAGUCCGCAUGGCCUUUAUGUCUGGGGCUACACACGUGCUACAAUGGUCGGUACAGAAGGCAGCAAGACCGUAAGGUGGAGCAAAUCCUAGAAAGCCGAUCUCAGUUCGGAUUGUAGUCUGCAACUCGACUACAUGAAGUUGGAAUUGCUAGUAAUGACGUGUCAGCAACAACGUCGUGAAUACGUUCCCGGGCCUUGUACACACCGGACACGC